rnacentral:rRNA from 1 species
UACGGAGGGUGCAAGCGUUGCUCGGAAUUAUUGGGCGUAAAGGGCGUGUAGGUGGCUCGUUAAGUCCGGUGUGAAAUCCCACGGCUCAACCGUGGAACUGCAUUGGAAACUGGCGAGCUCGAGGGUUGGAGGGGGUCGCGGAAUUCCCGGUGUAGAGGUGAAAUUCGUAGAUAUCGGGAGGAACACCAGUGGCGAAGGCGGCGACCUGGCCAAUCACUGACACUGAGACGCGAAAGCGUGGGUAGCAAACAGG